GACGAACGCUGGCGGCGCGCCUAACACAUGCAAGUCGAACGAGCGAGAGAGAGCUUGCUUUCUUGAGCGAGUGGCGAACGGGUGAGUAACGCGUGAGGAACCUGCCUCAAAGAGGGGGACAACAGUUGGAAACGACUGCUAAUACCGCAUAAGCCCACGGUGCCGCAUGGCACAGAGGGAAAAGGAGCAAUCCGCUUUGAGAUGGCCUCGCGUCCGAUUAGCUAGUUGGUGAGGUAACGGCCCACCAAGGCGACGAUCGGUAGCCGGACUGAGAGGUUGAACGGCCACAUUGGGACUGAGACACGGCCCAGACUCCUACGGGAGGCAGCAGUGGGGAAUAUUGCACAAUGGGGGAGACCCUGAUGCAGCGACGCCGCGUGGAGGAAGAAGGUCUUCGGAUUGUAAACUCCUGUUGUUGGGGAAGAUAAUGACGGUACCCAACAAGGAAGUGACGGCUAACUAUGUG
rnacentral:rRNA from 1 species